UACGGGGGGAACGAGCGUUGUUCGGAUUUACUGGGCGUAAAGGGCACGCAGGCGGGGAGACAAGUCAGAUGUGAAAACCCAAAGCUUAACUCUGGGCCUGCAUUUGAUACUGUUUCUCUUGAGUACGGGAGAGGAUGGCGGAAUUCUUGGUGUAGCGGUGAAAUGCGUAGAUAUCAAGAAGAACACCGGUGGCGAAGGCGGCCAUCUGGCCCGAUACUGACGCUCAUGUGCGAAGGCAAGGGGAGCAAACAGG
rnacentral:rRNA from 1 species